GGUGAAAUGUAGUGAACGUGGGUAUCAAUACCACCAGCAGUAGCAAUCAUACCAUCACCGUUGUAAGCUUCAGUACUUGCCCCGAUAACGAAAUCAACAUUAUCCAUGUUGUCUGGGUUACCACCCUUACCAAUAGCAAGGAUUUUACCAUCACGAAUACCGAUAUCUGCUUUGUAAAUACCUGUAUAGUCAAUGAUAACAACGUUACUGAUUACCAUAUCAGCAACCAUU
rnacentral:sRNA from 1 species